CUAAAAAUCUGAAAUGAAUGAAAUUGGAAGAAUUAUUGUGAAAAUUAAAAGAAAAGAAAGCUGCGUUGUUCCCCUCAUGGAUUGGACGACGGCGCCCUGAAUUCCUUCCUUUCUGAAAUUCUGAUUUUCCGUACGGACCCGCCAUUCCCAUCAUUCAUUCAUUCUUUCAUUCAUUCAUUCAUUCAUUCUCAUGGACCUCAACCUUCCUUCCUCCCGCUUCCGCCACCGCAAUUCCCCUUCCUCCGAACGCUUUCUCGCCUCCUUCCCUUCUCCCCCCGUUCGCUCUUCAAACCCUAGUUCCACCACGCCCUCGACGACGAUUCCGAGCUCAACGAAGACGACGUCUUCUGGACCGGCGAUUUUGCUUCCGAUUCCGUCCACCAUAGCCACUCCACUCCUUCUUCCUCUUCCUCUUCAACUCCUCGUCACCAUAUUCAUCACCUCCAGCAUCACAAGGGUUUUCCUCUGCCUGAAACCUUCGGAAUUCUCGCUGCUCUUCCCGAGAACGAGGCCUCCUCCAGUCUUAGAAACUCUUCUCAUUUCUAUCACAAGGCCUCUGUUUCGUCUUCUUCCUCCUCCUCCCCUUCGUCUUCUCGUAUGAUUCCCACGAUCCCCAAACCUCCUCUGGACCGAUUGCCUCUUCCCAUUUCGACCUCGUUGAAGUACCAGUCUGCACCUGUGAAUGUGCCAAUAAUGUCGAAGGCGGUUGUUCAAAGACAGCUGGAGGUUGAUGUGGACGAUGUUGAUGAAGACGAUGGGGAGAUGUUGCCGCCGCAUGAGAUUGUGGCUAGAAGUUUGGCUCAGUCGCCGAUGUUGUCGUGCUCUGUGCUUGAGGGAGCUGGAAGGACGUUAAAAGGGAGGGAUCUUCGUCAGGUUCGCAACGCGGUUUGGAGACGAACAGGUUUUCUUGAUUAAGGAAUUGAAUUCCAGUAAUUAUUUUUGGAGAACAGAUUUGCACCAUUCGCUAAGCUGCUACUGUCUGGUUCACUUUGACCACUUCUUGUGUCGCUCUUUUUAGAAAUAUAUAUUGAGGGUCCAGGAAUAUUUGAAUCUGCUUGACACUCAUCGUAACGAGGAAUUGGAAUUGUAAUUAUCUGAAGGGCGCCUAAGAAUUUUCUUUGAAGCUUAUUUGUGGUGGGAAGGGGACCAGGUGGAUCAGUGAUUCUGAUAUGGAGGGUCUGUAUGGACGAGUGAAAAUGGGGAAGGGAGGAAUAAUUGUAGAGGAGAGUGAAGGAACUUGAGCAACGUGGUGAAGGAAGUAUGAGCACCCAUGUUUUAAUUAGUUCAACAUUCCAAACUUCAAUUCAUGAAAAUAGCAUUAUAGACAAAAUGGUUGGCACCUUGGUUCAGAGGCAAUGGUCUCUGUAUUAUGGCUAUAGCAUCUAGGACAAAGAAAAACAACACGCAAAUGGUGAAACAAAAGAAGAGCAUUAGAGAGAUCCGAAACUUCAAAUGCUUAAUCUCAUGAGUAAAAGCUACAUCCUUGCUUUGAGAGGGGUCCUUGUCAGCAUAAGUACUAACUCUACAAUCUACCUUCCUCUUAUUGGCUUUUUCUCCACUUUGGUUUCAUGCAUCUUUGUUAUGGGUGGAUAAGGAUGUAUUCGGUUUGGUUUUUUAUUUGCCAUCAGGUGCUUCAUAUUGAUAUUCCUUGGGUUUUUUUGUUUA